GAGAGGCAUUCUGGUUUGCAUUCCCUGUUUUCUGAGAGAGGCAUUCUGGUUCUUCUCUCCGUCAGACCUGAAAGUGAAAAUUAAGCGCAGAGUGGAAGCAAAGCCGAAAUGCAUCGACCCAUUUUUGGGCAUUCUUUCGCCGUGCUCGUGGCACCCAUCCUUCUCUCCGUGCUCGCGUUCCGUUUUCUCAAUAAG